AUUUUUUUCGGGCAUCGUCCGAUAAAUGGAACGAUGCAAAGAAGACUAGCAUAGUCCCUGCGCAAGGAUAACACGCACACAUCGAGAAUUGUACCAUGUUUGC
rnacentral:snRNA from 1 species